UCAUUAUCACACGACUCACGUUGUAGAUACGUGUGUCUAGAGCUAGAAUCGUCUCCUGUAGGAGACUGUGAGCUGCUGGAGGGCAGGAAGCCAGGUUUUGUGUGUGCGUCUUUCGUGCUUACAUAGCUUCUUAUACUAAGCAGGCGAUCAAUGAAUAUGAAAGAAAUAGAUAACGUGAUAGGUGAGUAACUAGCACGCGAGCAAGAUUUUCAUUAAGCUUCAGGGAAUCUGUCCCAUGAAUGAGGACAGAUAUUUUCUUGCCUGAAGUGCUCUCUGUUCUCAGACGUACAACCCCUGUAACUUGGCAGAUAUGGUAAGAAAUCCCGAAGAUGCUGGAGGCUGGUACAUCUGCGGGUGGAUGAGUCUGUCCUCAAGACGGGACAUUCCCAGUUCCAGGCGCCGUUUGCGUCUCCCUGGUCCUGAGGCACGUGUGGAAGCAUAAGUGGUCAAGGAUGAGGCUGAAAGGUUUACCCCCACUAAGGAGGCAGAGCCAAACGGAGGACGGAGGCCCUCAAAGAAGGGAGCUCUCAUUCUGGCUCGUGGAACAGAGUUGCUGUGCCUGGAGGGGUCUGCACCACCUGGGACUCACGGAGAGCAGCACGAGCCCUCGUCAGAAGGUGGAGGGGAGGACAAGCCCCUGCAGCGCGUUAGCGGGAAGGGGCUGCCCACCCCUAGCCAGCUGCCGGAGACGCCAGGCCUGCAGCAUUUCACUUCCAGCUGGGACACCAGUGCUGCUGUGUCACACUGUUGUUAAGUGAGUGCAGGCUGGUGCUUCCUGUCUUGAGUAACUGUUCAAUGAGGCUGGAAGAAUUAAUGGGUAAAUUUCCUCUCUAUCCCAGCCAGGGCUUCCAGGAGGCAGGCCCUCAGCUCCACUGUUACAAUCUGUUGUUAUUCCUAUUAGAUCACUAGCAUGGACACAAAUUCAAUUUGAUACUUUAUUACAUACUGUCUUGUACUUGUCUCUGAUUAUUUAAUCUAAGUCCUGAA